rnacentral:rRNA from 1 species
CCUACGGGGGGCAGCAGUCGAGAAUCAUUCACAAUGGGGGAAACCCUGAUGGUGCGACGCCGCGUGGGGGAAUGCAGGUCUUCGGAUUGUAAACCUCUGUCAUGUGGGAGCAAAUUAAAAAGAUAGUACCACAAGAGGAAGAGACGGCUAACUCUGUGCCAGCAGCCGCGGUAAUACAGAGGUCUCAAGCGUUGUUCGGAAUCACUGGGCGUAAAGCGUGCGUAGGCUGUUACGUAAGUCGUGUGUGAAAGGCGCGGGCUCAACCCGCGGACGGCACAUGAUACUGCGAGACUAGAGUGAUGGAGAGGGAACCGGAAUUCUCGGUGUAGCAGUGAAAUGCGUAGAUAUCGAGAGGAACACUCGUGGCGAAGGCGGGUUCCUGGACAUUAACUGACGCUGAGGCACGAAGGCCAGGGGAGCGAAAGGGAUUAGAUACCCGAGUAGUC